AGAGUUUGAUCCUGGCUCAGGACGAACGCUGGCGGCGCGCCUAACACAUGCAAGUCGAACGAGCGAGAGAGAGCUUGCUUUCUCGAGCGAGUGGCGAACGGGUGAGUAACGCGUGAGGAACCUGCCUCAAAGAGGGGGACAACAGUUGGAAACGACUGCUAAUACCGCAUAAGCCCACAGCUCGGCAUCGAGCAGAGGGAAAAGGAGCAAUCCGCUUUGAGAUGGCCUCGCGUCCGAUUAGCUAGUUGGUGAGGUAACGGCCCACCAAGGCGACGAUCGGUAGCCGGACUGAGAGGUUGAACGGCCACAUUGGGACUGAGACACGGCCCAGACUCCUACGGGAGGCAGCAGUGGGGAAUAUUGCACAAUGGGGGAAACCCUGAUGCAGCGACGCCGCGUGGAGGAAGAAGGUCUUCGGAUUGUAAACUCCUGUUGUUGAGGAAGAUAAUGACGGUACUCAACAAGGAAGUGACGGCUAACUACGUGCCAGCAGCCGCGGUAAAACGUAGGUCACAAGCGUUGUCCGGAAUUACUGGGUGUAAAGGGAGCGCAGGCGGGAAGACAAGUUGGAAGUGAAAUCCAUGGGCUCAACCCAUGAACUGCUUUCAAACUGUUUUUCUUGAGUAGUGCAGAGGUAGGCGGAAUUCCCGGUGUAGCGGUGGAAUGCGUAGAUAUCGGGAGGAACACCAGUGGCGAAGGCGGCCUACUGGGCACCAACUGACGCUGAGGCUCGAAAGUGUGGGUAGCAACAGGAUUAGAUACCCUGGUAGUCCACACUGUAAACGAUGAUUACUAGGUGUUGGAGGAUUGACCCCUUCAGUGCCGCAGUUAACACAAUAAGUAAUCCACCUGGGGAGUACGACCGCAAGGUUGAAACUCAAAGGAAUUGACGGGGGCCCGCACAAGCAGUGGAGUAUGUGGUUUAAUUCGACGCAACGCGAAGAACCUUACCAAGUCUUGACAUCCUGCGACGCACAUAGAAAUAUGCGUUUCCUUCGGGACGCAGAGACAGGUGGUGCAUGGUUGUCGUCAGCUCGUGUCGUGAGAUGUUGGGUUAAGUCCCGCAACGAGCGCAACCCUUAUGGUCAGUUACUACGCAAGAGGACUCUGGCCAGACUGCCGUUGACAAAACGGAGGAAGGUGGGGAUGACGUCAAAUCAUCAUGCCCUUUAUGACUUGGGCUACACACGUACUACAAUGGCGUUAAACAAAGAGAAGCAAGACCGCGAGGUGGAGCAAAACUCAGAAACAACGUCCCAGUUCGGACUGCAGGCUGCAACUCGCCUGCACGAAGUCGGAAUUGCUAGUAAUCGCAGAUCAGCAUGCUGCGGUGAAUACGUC
rnacentral:rRNA from 1 species